rnacentral:rRNA from 1 species
UACGGGGGGAGCAAGCGUUGUUCGGAAUCACUGGGCGUAAAGCGUGCGCAGGCGGUCUGUUAAGACCGAUGUGAAAUCCCCGGGCUUAACCUGGGAACUGCAUUGGUGACUGGCAGGCUUUGAGUGUGGCAGAGGGAGGUAGAAUUCCACGUGUAGCAGUGAAAUGCGUAGAGAUGUGGAGGAAUACCGAUGGCGAAGGCAGCCUCCUGGGCCAACACUGACGCUCAUGCACGAAAGCGUGGGGAGCAAACAGG